AUGAGCUCCAAGCACUGGUGCGCUCAGGGUCCUUCCAGGCAGUGCAGUGGUCGCUCAGCUCAUCUCAGGAAGCGGACGGAGGCCACGGGCCAGGGUGGGAAGAGAACACCAGCUCUGGACCCCAGAAUGCGAGACUUUGUGCCAAACCCGGCACAUCGACCCACAGACAGCUCCUGUUGGCUGUGGCUUGGGAAGCUGGGUGAAGUCUGCUGGCUCCCCCCACCGGACCGCUCCCCAAUUCCAAGCCCCCCGACCUCCCACCUGCCCUGGCUGCCUCCUCUCUUGCUCCCAACCGUCCAGCAUCCAGAAACACCUGGCGAAGAUGCACAUUGGCUUACACCAUCCCCCUGCUCGAAACCUUCUCAUGCCUCCUACACUCGAAGGAGCAUGCGGACACGUGUCUGUGGCCUGAGCUUCUGCCAUCUCCCAUUGCGUAUAGAGCUCAAGUGUAGCCCCUGUCUCAGAUGUCCCCAGCUCUUUCCUGCCACAGGGACUUUGCACUUCCUGCUGCCUCUGUCUGGAAGGUCCUUCCCAGGGUCUUCACCUGGUGGUGAGCACUACUUGCUCGGCUCCCUCUUGGUGCGGUGCAAAUGUGACCCCUCAGUGAAAGCUUCCCUAGCGCCCCUCCCCCUGCACACACACGACAAGCACACCACCCUGUGUGCCACCUUCACGGCACCCGGCGCUAAGCUACACCUGCCUUGCUCAUCCAUCUUCCUGUUUCUCACCGGCCUGCCCUGUGUGAACGGAAGUCCAGGAGAGCUCAGAGGUGCCGCACCCCUGAGAGUGCCCGCACAGAGCAAAUGCCCCGAGAACAUCCGUGGGAGGCCUUUACAGUGUAAGACUUAUCUGCUUGAAAUUCAGAGUUAUUGGCCGGUGCCGCGGCUCAGUAGGCUAAUCCUCCGCCUUGCGGCGCUGGCACACCAGGUUCUAGUCCCGGUCGGGGCGCCGGAUUCUGUCCCGGUUGCCCCUCUUCCAGGCCAGCUCUCUGCUGUGGCCAGGGAGUGCAGUGGAGGAUGGCCCAAGUCCUUGGGCCCUGCACCCCAUGGGAGACCAGGAUAA
rnacentral:lncRNA from 1 species